UGGGGGAUAUUGCACAAUGGACGAAAGUCUGAUGCAGCGACGUCGUGUGGGGGAUGAAGGCCUUCGGGUUGUAAACUCCUUUCGCCCGCGGAAAAGGCAGGGUUUUGGCCUUGUUGAUGGUAGUGGGUAAAGAAGCGCCGGCUAACUACGUGCCAGCAGCCGCGGUAAUACGUAGGGCGCGAGCGUUGUCCGGAAUUAUUGGGCGUAAAGGGCUCGUAGGCGGCUUGUCGCGUCUAGCGUUUAAGGCUCGGGCUUAACCCGGGUUUGCGUUGGGUACGGGCAGGCUUGAGUGCGGUAGGGGUAACUGGAAUUCCUGGUGUAGCGGUGGAAUGCGCAGAUAUCAGGAGGAACACCGGUGGCGAAGGCGGGUUACUGGGCCGUUACUGACGCUGAGGAGCGAGAGCGUGGGGAGCGAACAGG
rnacentral:rRNA from 1 species